AAACCGAUGAACGUGGGAUGACGUCAAGUCCUCAUGCCUUUAUGCCCAGGGCUACACACGUGCUACAAUGGGCGGUACAAAGAGCAGCGAGCUCGCGAGAGUAAGCAAAUCUCAAAAAGCCGUCCUCAGUUCGGAUUGGAGUCUGCAACUCGACUCCAUGAAGUUGGAAUCGCUAGUAAUCGCAGAUCAGCAUGCUGCGGUGAAUACGUUCCCGGGCCUUGUACACACCGCCCGUCACACCAUGGGAGUUUGUUGCACCAGAAGUAGGUAGUCUAACCGCAAGGAGGACGCUUACCACGGUGUGGCCGAUGACU
rnacentral:rRNA from 1 species